CUAUUAUUUCAUUAUCAAGGUUGUAACAUUUACCAAAUGUUAACAAAAUUAAGUAGUUGCAGAUUCCAUUCAAUCUAAAACAAAGACACAAAGAACAGGCAGGUGGUCGGGGGAAAAAGAGGGAAUUAGGAUACAAUGAGAUCUAAUACUGUCCUAAAAACGGGUAAGUGCUGUUCGUGGAAAGGACAGAGAGAGAGAGAGAUGUUUUAAAGUCAUUUUCAAAGGAAAACUAAGAGUUGGGCCCUCCACACAUUCAAAUUUCUUUAUUCAGGGAAGGGCUAGAUACAAAACACUCAUCUCAAAAAUCACCAAUCUAUUAAUAAUUCAGCCAUAAAGUAGCAGUUUUUGAAAUAAAUGAGUUUAAAGUCAACCAAUAGUUUUUAUACUAGUUUUCAUGCUAAAAAAAAAAAAAGAAAGAAAGAAAAGAAAACCACAAAAACCUUUAUUUAGAAAACCUUCGGGUCAGAAAAAUACUUAUGAAAUUCUUAAUCAUCAUUCACUUAGCAGAGAGCAGUGGCUCCCUUGGGCACAGAGGGCACCCUGCUUCUACAAAGUGCACGCCACAGCCAAACAUAUCCCUCCACACAAAACCAGAAUGCCACCAGAAAAACUGCGACAUGCCCUGCCUUCAGGCGGUCGCUAUUAUUUGAAAACGCAGAAGUCAGCAUUUGUGGGCUAUUUUGUAGUCAGUAGCACCACUGCAGGCUGGGUCAGGCUCGAGAGGAACCUCCAUUGCCAGGAUCCCCGGAAAGAAUGACCGCCUCCCGACUCAAGCCCUGAGCUUGACGCCCUGCUGCCGGGCAGAGCAACAUUAAUGAGAAGAAAAAACAUCCUUCCUCAAAGUCAGGUAAUUUUUCACUUGGGUCUCUUUCCCCUUCCCAGAGAGAUGUGAGACUUGACAAGUUUGUAAGUAGGCUUUAAGUUGGAAAAACAGAGCACGGGAUGAUACUACACAAGGAAAAAACAUGGAGCCUGCCCAAAAUUAAAUGUUUCAAUGGGGAAUCCUAAUAAAACAUGUACCUUGAUGCAGUUCAUUAACCACUUAAUUUAUUAAAGUUUUACUCCCCUACAAAAGGUAUAAGAAGCCAAGGGAGUGAAAUAUUCGAUUAAUAGUACUGAUUAUUGUCUAUUUAAAAGAUAAGAAAUCCAAGCUAGCAAAAGCAUAGUUAUAAAUAAUAAUCAAAAUAAAUACUUGGUUCAUGAAAACGCCAAAAAGAGCUACUAAAGAGUCCUUCGCAUUCUAUUCUGACUUGGAUUUAAACUGUGUGUAACCCACACAUUUAAAGGAUGUGCAUCUCAAAUCCUGGAGGACUGCGGGAGAAAAUUUAAAUUUCAGAUUUAAAUGGCUGGCAAAAUUUUAAAACAAAUGUAAUGAAAACCCAAGUUUUCAUUCCUUCUAUUGCUUGGCACAUUUUCCCUGGAAAUCCCCAGACACAUUUUGUUCAGGAAACAAAGAACUCCAAGAUUGAGACAAUUCUUUGCUAACUCAAAAAAAAAAAAAAAAAAAAAAGCGAAAAUAGAUUUUCAGGAUGCCCCAUAAAUAAAUAAAUGAAUCUAAGCAGAAAACAGGUUGCAACUCGAGUAGUCCCUGCCUUCAAAACUGCUUGCAAAACAAAACUCCCUGGAGCGCAUUCAGGUUGCUCCUCCCAGGCCUAGGGCCACAACGCCUGGUAAAUAACGUCCCGGCGCUCAGGGCCUCUUUCCCAAAAGCCCGACGUGGGAACAACUAGCAGGGGGCGGGGAGGUGGGGCGGGCUGCAAAACGCGCACGGCUCACGUGGGCAUCUAGAGUCCAGCUCCCGAGACCCGGUCAAAGCAGGGACAGGAUCUCUUCCCCACCCACCCAAAUGACGCCCUCGGUCUGUUUCCGCUGGGAUCCGGAGAAGCUGACCCUCUCACCGGGGGGUCUUCCCGGGGCGCCUAGGCCAGGGCGGGCCCCCAGCGUCGUCCUCUCCCACCCCCCCACUCCCCUGCCCACACAUUCUGGAUCAAAGCAGACAUGCGGCCGGCGCUCUGCGAUCCAAGGCACACUGGGGUCUUUCAUCCGGUGUUUUUAAAAAGGAGGAAACAAAAGGCUCAGAGGCAGGGCCCCAGGUGCGCUCGCCCGCGGGGGCUGCGGCGCGGACGACCGAAGAAAACCACGACUUCCUGGAAAAGUCUUCACCGUAAAUAUUAAUCUCUUUGGCAUGAAGAGGAAAACACUGCAGCUAAUUUUUCAUGGGAUAACAAAAAUAUAAACUGCAAUUUCUUUUAUUUUUUCCCUUUCGAUGGUCUUUUUAAACGAGGAGUAAAGAUUUCAACGCCAGGUCCAUUUUCCAAAUUUUGUACCAGAACCUUGAGGAUGCUUGUCUCUCGCGCGCUUCUCCGCAGACCGAACCCUCUCCGGAACUCAGAGCUGUUCACCCAAGUCAGCGGAGGAGGCCUCCUGGGACUUGAGCCUGAGGGUGGCGAAGAACCCUAGGCAGAGAUCAUCAACUUGGUACCGAUGAGUGACGCGGAGCUUGAACAUUCCAGCGACUUGCUCCAGGGCCACUCCCAGUUAAGAGGCUGAGUGUUAACUGCAAGAGGCUGAGUGUUAACUACGCCGUUGGCUCCAGGAACCGAACCGGGUUUGGAUACAGACCCAGUCACACCAUCCAUGAAAAGCUGUUUCUAUAAUAUGAAAAAUUGUUAAAUGACGCUUUAGUAAAAGCCAUUUAAAGAUCUUUUCUAAUAAAUUUUUCAUCUUUCCAAACAAUGCCGCUAAUUACCUUCUGAUACAGUGCGUUUCCAAAAUGUUUAUGAACUGAAAACAAAAAUAAAAAACUACAUUUUUAUGUUGUAAAGGGAGUGGGGGGGACUUUCUAAAAUUUGUCGUAUUAUAGCACUUCUCAUGACAACUUGACCCUUUAGGCAUAAUUUUUGACAAAAUGUCUUGUUCUUUUUCUUUUUACAGCUGAACGUCUUAAAUUCAAGGAGUAAACACAUAUAAUGAGAUAAAAGUUUAUCACUGUUAGCACAACCAAUAAUUUGCAUCGUAGUCUCAAUUUC
rnacentral:lncRNA from 10 species